AUUGAACGCUGGCGGCAUGCCUUACACAUGCAAGUCGAACGGUAACAGGUCUUCGGAUGCUGACGAGUGGCGAACGGGUGUGUAAUACAUCGGAACGUGCCUAGUAGUGGGGGAUAACUACUCGAAAGAGUGGCUAAUACCGCAUGAGAUCUACGGAUGAAAGCAGGGGAUCGCAAGACCUCGUGCUACUAGAGCGGCCGAUGGCAGAUUAGGUAGUUGGUGGGAUAAAAGCUUACCAAGCCGACGAUCUGUAGCUGGUCUGAGAGGACGAUCAGCCACACUGGGACUGAGACACGGCCCAGACUCCUACGGGAGGCAGCAGUGGGGAAUUUUGGACAAUGGGCGCAAGCCUGAUCCAGCAAUGCCGCGUGCAGGAUGAAGGCCUUCGGGUUGUAAACUGCUUUUGUACGGAACGAAAAGCCCUGGGUUAAUACCCUGGGGUCAUGACGGUACCGUAAGAAUAAGCACCGGCUAACUACGUGCCAGCCGCCGCCGUAA
rnacentral:rRNA from 1 species